UACGUAGGGGGCGAGCGUUGUCCGGAAUCAUUGGGCGUAAAGCGCGUGUAGGCGGUUCAGUAAGUCUGCUGUGAAAGUCCAGGGCUCAACCCUGGGAUGCCGGUGGAUACUGCUGAACUAGAGUGCGGAAGAGGCGAGUGGAAUUCCCGGUGUAGCGGUGAAAUGCGCAGAUAUCGGGAGGAACACCAAUUGCGAAGGCAGCUCGCUGGGACGUUACUGACGCUGAGACGCGAAAACGUGGGGGAGCAAACAGG
rnacentral:rRNA from 1 species